rnacentral:lncRNA from 1 species
CCACACCACUAGGUCAAGUCCCAAUACUUUCUUAGCAUGGGGCACCCUCUUAUCCAAAUCACAUAUUGGCAUCACCGGGUACCAAUGUGAGUACCAAUCGAAUCUCUUUUUCUCGCGACCAUCAGCCUCAAGUUCCGGCAUAGGUGGCUCAAUGGACUCCGUUGUUGAUGCCGGGGAUGAUGAUAACGUCAUAAACAACCUCGAUUUCGAUCCAUUUCUUUCAAACAAUGUGAAAGAUGAAUCGAACACAAUUAAUUUUAACCUUAAAUGGUGAAAGAUGGGUUUAGGAAAUUGGGUUUUGUUUCUUCUUCUUGUUGUUGAAAUGUAUGGUGAAUGAACAAGGGUAGAAGAAGAAGCUCUAAGAACAUCCAUGGCUGACUAUCUUCCUUUUUUUCCUUCGGCUUUCAACACUCACUGGUUCUUCAAAGCUUAAUAUCCAUAUAUCAUUCAUUAUAUAUACUAGCUAGUUCCAUGCAUGCAUACUUCAACUUAUGGUAAUUAACAAUAUACAUAUGGUAAACAUAUACAUAUUAACCAAAUAUGUGUAUACAUAUAUAAAUAUUAACCUAAUAUAUAUUACGGUAAUUAUGGUAACAAUAUCUAUAUAAUGCUAUAUAUUAGGAUAAUUAAUUACGGUACUUAUAGUAAUUAUGGUAAUUAUAGUAAAGGUUAUAUCAUGGUAAUUAUGGUAACAAUAUCUAACACCCAAUUUUUUCCAUUUUACAAAGUUUUAUAUAAAAAAAUAAACACAUUAUAGUUUUUAACACGUAUUACUUUUCAUUUAAAGAACUUAUUUUUGUUGAUUGAGUUUUAGCUCGUUCGACAUGAAUAUUGUUAACAAUGCAAGAAGAUAUGGGUUUAAAUGUGUUAAAAUAGAUUAUCUUAUUGUGAAACGUAUUUUGUUAACCACCUCAUUUUACGAAUCGAGGUUGAAUGAGUAAAUUGUUUUCUUAUUAUUUUAUUUUGUUCAACUGAAUUAAUUGUGUAUACUCUUUAUAUUUAUCGCUUUAUUAAUGGUUAACUGGUAUUAAUAAAUUAUGUAGUUUGUGAGUUGAGUCAAUUGGUUGAAGCCAUUCGCAUGCUUUCCGGUGAGUUCAAUACCUAAAAUAUUUUAUAACGGAUUUAUUUCAUUAUAAUUAUUACAUCACAAUGAUAUUAAUCACAUAAAAUUGUGAUUGUGAUCACUCUUUUCAUCAGCUUCUUGAUGAUUUUUUUUUACAUAAUCUUGUUCUAGCAAAAACUUUGUAAGCCUUUCAUACUAAGCCCAUAAGGUUUGCUUCAAGCCAUAUAAGGCCUUAGUGAGCUUAUAAAUACUUAUAACUUGAAAUACAUUCUAAACAUCAAACCUAAAUAUCUUCUUACCUUUUCAUCAACGGAAAAGAGAAUGGAUGGGCAAGGAUUGAUAUUAUAAAUGACAUUCGCUUUCACACUUAUUCGAAGUGUCAUCCACCAAGCAAUCGAUCAAACCCCCAACAACUGAAGGUAUUGUUCCAUGUUGAGGUUUUUUCCCCAGCUUCACUCAGAGCAAUGUACAGUUCAUGAAGGGAGAAGCUUUGGUUGAUGGAGAUACAACCUAUAAUAGCUCAUGAGACAGGUGUUUGUAUUGUGCGUAACAUUAAUAAUAGAGAAUGCGUGCGGGAGAAUUCAAACCACCAACAACUUAAAGAGAACAUUCGAUUGGUGCAAGCGAUCCGAUUAGAGAAGGCUAUACAACAAUGAUUUUAACAGCUCAAUGAUUUUAUAACUCUUUUUUAAUAAAAUUUCUAAUCAUUGUUGGUAUAGGAAAAAAAAAAGAAGUGUUGAACUAGAUUUAACCCUGCAUACAAAGUAAAGGGUGUCAUAUUCUCAUCAAAUAACACAAAAUCUUUCAAUGAAAGGCAUGGUUAUAACCAUGGUAAUGGAAGUUCUUGUAGAUGAAAUGAGCCAACCAUUUGGAAGCUGCAAAGCAAAUGAUAGCCAUUGAUACCAUUGUUGUUUUAGCCACCAUUGACAUCAUCUUCUGCUUUGUUACAACAAUGAUGCCAAUCAAGAUAACCGACAUGAUUUGCAGCAUUACUUCGAGUGCCUUGAGACCUUUAUAUGCACUAUUACAACUCUUACAAUUCACUACAUGACUCCAAUACCUACACACCAAAAAAAAGCUUCUUGUUAAAUCAUGUUACUCAUGGUGGCUUGCACAUGGAAGUCAAGAUUGUAGGGAUUAACGUACAUAUUCAAUACAUGAAUGCUCAUUCUUUUUACAUGUAGUUCAUAUGUUAGGAAUAUUGCACCUAUAGUUAUGUCUGAAUAUGUAUGGGGCACAGGUACUCCAAAAGAAAUGAAGAGCGAUGGGUAUAAGUAUAUGUCCAAAUUUUCAUGUUCGGAAUGUUUGGAUAUAUACUCGUAUACUUGAAGAAAAAUGAAGAGUCGAAAGUUAUUAAAUUUACCUGUCCAUCAGUUGUUCUCUAGGAGGGGAUGGAGGAAGAGCUCCACUAUACUUCCCUUUCCAGUCAAUCUCACUGCCGGCAUACUUGUUGAACCACCUCCGGAAGCCAACCACCAUAGCAUCUGACUUUGUAGGCAAAAAACAAGCUUUUUGCCAAUUGGUAGCCCCAAUUUCCAUUAUCUUACGCUCCUACAAGGAGAAAUAGGUUGUCAACUUGCAUAAACAUGAUUAAAAACAGUUUCCAGUUCGUUAACAUAUGCCAUAGGUCUCUGUACUCUUCACAGAUUCGAGUACUUAGUAAUAAAAAAAUAAAAAAUUCAAAGCAUCAAAGAGCCAGAGAUAUAGGAAUCACCUCAACAUGAAGAAGAUACAAAUCAGAAUCAAGAACCAAGUUUACUCCAAUGUGAAACAUCCAUCUUGGAACAAUUUGGUCAAUCCAAACGCCAAAUUUUCUUGGGAAAAUCCAAAUCAAUCUACUAUUACCUGGACUAACUGGAACACACAUAAAAAUCAACAUAAGUCUGUGAUUUUCUUCAUCAACCUCAGCAUCAGCAAAAGUAUGGAUGAUACAAGGAGCAAUAAAGUUAGAAUUGCCCCAUUCUUGUUCAACAAAACCAUUUAUAUCCAACUUCUUGACUUUCAUAUCAAGUGGUCUACCCCCUUCUCUAUCAACCUUCACUGUGAACAAAAAAUUACAAUUUUAGAUAUGGUAAAAAAAACCCUCUCGAUUUUGAUAUUGAGCAAUUCAAUCCCUCUCAAAAAAAUCGGAGCAAUUUAAUCUCUGUCAAUUUCGAAAGUGAGCAAAUAAGGAUAAUUAAUCACAAGAUUAAUGUUUUUCGUCAAUUUUACAUAAAUUUGACUAGUAUAAUAAAAAAUUUAGCUCUCAUAAUUUACACGUUCUAUCAAUUCGAUCAUUGAUUUAACAAAUUUAGCCCAUAUAUAUAUAUUUGUAAAUGUGUAAAUAUUGAGGCUAAAUUUGUUGAAUUUUUUAAAAUCAAGACAAAAUUAACAAAAUAUGUAAACGUUGAGGGCCAAUCAAAAUUAUACACAAUUGACGAAAUACAUUAACCCGUGAUUGCUCUAUUAUUUUUCAAAGCGACUAACUUGUUCAAUUUCGAAUUUGAGAGAGACUAGAGAAAUCUUUUUACCUAUACGUGAAUUUCAUAUCUCAAAAUACAUUAAGAACUUCUUACCCUUAGGGAUCGGAGUGCGGAUUAUUCCGUAAUGUGCAUAUGGAAGAUGAGCAAAAUCCAUAAGAUUUUCAAUCAAGAACUCAUACCUGAAACCACAAAAUUAGAUUCUCGAACAAAUUUCAGUUUCCGUAAAUUAUAUUACUCUUAACUCUUUAUUUUUCUUGAAGUACCCGAAAGGAAGAUCUCUAUUUCCCAUCGGCCUUGAAAACGAAGGAUCAUCCAACUCAGGUAUGUAAGGAGGCUUUUUCUUUGUUAUAAUAUCUUUGUAUUGAGGAUCAGCAUUUGGCCAAACCCAUACAAUAUCAUGUUGCACAACACUUGGAUAAACAGCCACACAUGCUUUCUUGAAUGUAUGGACCUGCAAUUUUGAAAACCAAAGUUACCCCCUUUUGCCAACAAUGCCACACACAUUGCUCAAAAUGAACCAUGGUUACAAUAUCAACAUUGUAAGAAGAGGAUCAGAUAUAUCUAUAUACAUAGAGAUGUUCAUGGGCCGCGUCGAGUUGGGUUCGGACUUGACAUACUUAUGAUAUUAAUACAUUUUAUAUUUGUCCAGGUCUAGUCCAACCUGAAAUAUGAACUUAAAAUACUCAUAUUUGUAAAUAGUUAACUCAAGUUCAUUUUAAAUUCAAUCAUAUUAUUUUUUUAAAAAAUUAAAAAAUACCUUUAUAUUAUUUUUAAUUUAUAUCUAAUAAUUUUAUAUGUAAUCAUCUUAACAUUUUUAAUCUCUACAUUAUAGUAAUAUUAUAUUUUUAUGUGUUAUAAAUUAUAUAAUAUAAAACAUUACAAAUUUCCUUGAAUAUUCAAGCCUAAGUUCACCCUAUUUUUUAUCCUAAUACUUUUGCUCGGGCCCCAAAUUUCGAACGAACCUUUAGAUUUGAGUGGAUAACUUGACCCAUAAACAGAUCUAAAUAUACGCAUAUAUAUGCUUUAUAGAAAGUAACUCAGGUGAUCCAAUAUCAUAUGUCCAACAUAAAUAUGCUUAUAAAUAUGACACACAAGUACAAGACUAUGGCUCCUGGAUACUCAGCAUGCUUGUGCCAGAUACAUACAUGUAUCCAACAUCACACCCGAGUUUCAAGUAAUAUAAUCAUCCAUACCUUUGUAACAGUCCUAACAUUAGAACAGCAAAAAGAACAUAAUUAAACAUGAUGAUAUGAACUAAAAAAAAGGGUUACCGGGGGUCCAUCUAAGGGAGCUUGAGGAAUGAUUUUGCAAUCACCAUUGCCAUUAAAGCACCAACCAUGGUACACACACUGUAAUCUCCCCCAUUGAUCAAUUCUUCCCUCAGAUAAAGGAGCUAAUCUAUGAGGACAAGUAUCAUCAAACACUUUCCAUUCGUUCUCAUUCUUAUCCCACCACACCACUAGAUCAAGUCCCAAUACCUUCUUACCAUGUGGCACCCUCUUAUCCAAAUCACAUACAGGCAUCACCGGGUACCACUGUGAGUACCAAUCGAAUCUCUCUUUCUCGCGACCGUCAGCCUCAAGUUCCGGCAUAGGUGGCUCGAUGGACUCCAUUGUUGAUGAUGGGGUCGAUGAUAAGGUCAUAAACAACCUGGAUUUCGAUCCAUUUCUUGUAAGAGCUGGUAAUUUUAAGUUUAAAUUGUGAAAGAUGGAUUUAGGAAACUGGGUUUUGUUUCUUGUUGCUGUUGUUAGAAUGCAUGGUAAAGGACCAAUAGCAGAAGCAGCUCUAAGAACAUCCAUGGCUGACUAUAUCUUCUUUUAUUUUCUUCGUCUUUUAAAACACUCUAUUGGUUCUUCAAAGCUUAAGCAAAGAGGAGAAAGAAAGAACUUGAGGCUGUGAGGAAAUGAAACUGAGUGAUGUGAUGUGAUCUUAGUGAGGCUAAAAAUGAAUUAAAUAGUAAUCAAUGAACACUCCCAAAGCAAAGACUUUGAAGGUUUGCAUUUUGCAAAAGUCAACAUGACUUUGUAGGAUUACAAUUCACUAGACUUCUCCGUCUCGAAAAUGAAUGGGAUAUGAAUAAAAAUAUAUAUCAAAAAAUAGAUUUAGGCAAAAAAAGAAGGUUGAUUUUCUAAACAGAUUGUAUCUCGAGUAAGUUUUUUUGGCCUAAGUCCGGCUUGGCUCGGAUACCCUUAACAAAGUAUCGAUACCUUUUUCAAAAGUAUCGACACCCUGCUUGAGAAUCAAUACCUUGGGGAAGGUAUCGAUAUCUCAUAAUAAGUAUCGAUACAUUCCCUAUUGUAUCAAUAUUAUAGGCUUUAAUAUGGGCUGAAAAGGAUCAGGCCCAAGUUUAGCAUCUAUAACCUAGGUUGGGUUUGGGCAAAAAUUUAGGUCAAUUUUUCGAACCAAGCCCGAGCCUAUUAAUUGGACCUAAAAUUUUAUUAGGGCUUAACCCGAACCAACCCAUGAACAACUCUUCGAGGGAGGAACCAAUAAAAUAAAUGUGUUGAAAUUAGGCUCAACUUAUACUACUUUAAAUAAUAACUUUUUUAAAUUCAGAAGAAUCUUGAUCACCAAAAUUAACAUGUGAAAAUUAAAAUUAACUUAUACAACAAAAAAAAAGUUAAAUGUUCAAUUUGUAUUAAAUAUUUUAAUUAUUUAAGCAUUAACUAUUUUACCAAAUUAAUAUUUAAAUACUACUUUGUAUUAGUUUAUCAAAUUAAACUAAAAAUAUUAUUAAAUUUAUCGUAAAAAUUUAUAAUUCUAUAAAAGAAAUCAAGUUAAAAGAAACUCUGGAAAACUUUGGGGGUGGAACACAAAUUUACCCUAUUUUUAAGCAUUAAUUAUAAGGUCAAUAAAAAAUUUUAAAAUUUAAAUGGGUUGAAUUGAAAUUUUAUAAAAUUUAGACGGCAUCCCUAGUGGUAAGAUGAAAAGUCAUCGUAUCAGGUGGAUAAAAAGAUAAGAGAGUGGUUAAAAGGAAGAGAAAGAAAGUAGGAAAAAUGUUCUCUUGUAUUGGUCUCUUCAGUGCAAUGAUAAGUCGUAUAUAUGACAUCUCACAUGUCAUGACCUCACUAGCAAAAAGGUCACGUCUUGUCUUCUCACAGGCGCGGCAAUGCGAAUUCAUAGGUGAGUAAUGCAACGUCUUAAGAUGGUUAAACAAUUAAUGGGUGUAAUUUUACAUGUACUCUUAACGAAGCUAGUCUAUAAUGAAGGUUCGUUCACCUUACUAUAGAGCCACUCGAUGUUAUGAGUUCAACCAAUAGGAUUAGAUUUUUUAAAACCUUGUUCAUGGCAUGUAAUCUAGAACAUUUAAAAGUAGAGUUGAAAACACAUAAAAUAUGUAUAUUUAAUUUCUAAUCAUUGUUGGUAUAGGAAAAGAAAAAGAAAAAGAUAGUUCAACUAGCUUUUAACCUUACAUACAAAGUAAAGGGUGCCAUAUUCACAUAAACUUACACAAAAGCAUGGUUAUAGUCAUGGUAAUGAAAAUUCUUGUAAAUGAAAUGAGCCAACCAUUUUGAAGCUGCAAAACAAACGAUAGCCAUUGAUACCAUUGUUGUUUUAACCACCAUUGAUAUCAUGUUUUGCUUUGUUACAGCAACGAUGCCAAUCAAACCAACAGACAUGAUUUGUAGUAUUACUUCGAGUGCCUUGAGACAUUAUGUGCAGUAUUACAACUCUUACAAUUCACCACAUGACUCCAAUACCUGCAAAACAAGAACAAAGGUUAUAAGGUAUGUUACCCGGGUUCAGAGCGUUGGAUUCACGUACAUAUUCGAUACAGGUAUGUUCAUAUGUUAGGAUACAAGCUCCCAUAUUUCGAGAAAAGUGAAGAGUCAGAGCAAUAUAAGGACAAAGUUACUAAAUUUACCUGUCCAUUAGUUGUUCUCUAGGAGGGGACGGAGGAAGAGCUCCACUAUACUUCCCUUUCCAAUCAAUCUCACCGCCGGCAUACUUGUUGAACCACCUUCGGAAACCGACUACUAAGGCAUCCGACUUUGUAGGCACGAAACAAGCUUUUUGCCAACUGGUAGCCCCGAUUUCCAUUAUUUUACGCUCCUACAUGGAGAAAUAAGGUGUAAAACAAAACGAAGUUUACCAGGCAAGAAUAUUUGCAUAUAGCUAUGUGUUAAACAUGAGUUCUUCAUAUAUUUAGAGGGUCCUUAAAAGUUGAUUGUCCAAAUAAGCAUGGAAUAUGAUUGUCAGAUACUGAGUACUCAUAAAAAAAGUGAAUGUACCUAAGAGGCCUCUCUGUUAUAGGGAUUUGAUCAAAUUAGUCCUUCAACUAUUAAAUAGAUCAAUUUAGUCCCUUUACUAUUAAAAAGAAUCAAAUAAGACCAAAUUAGAAUAGAGUUAAAAUUUACUAUUUUAAAAAGUUAAUAUUUUUAAAGUUUUUACGAUUUUGUAAAUAAAAUCUUUUGUUUAGAUUUGAGUUGCAAUUGAAAAAUAAUAAUUUUCAAUACAUUUUUUAGAUAGUGAAUGUUAACUCUAUUACAAUUUGGACUUAUUUGAUUCUUUUUAAUACUAUAAGGACUAAAUUAAUCCAUUUAAUAAUAGAGGGGACUAAUUUGAUCCAGUACCUAUACAGGUACUUUAACCCAUAAACAAAUGAAAAGUCGAAGCCAUAUAGAUUUUUUGAAUGAAACUCAUCAAAGAGCCAGAGAUAUAGGAAUCACCUCAACAUGAAGAAGAUACAAAUCGGAAUCAAGAAUCAAGUUUAGUCCAAUGUGAAUUAUCCAUCUUGGAACCAUUUUGUCAAUCGAAACACCAAAGUUUCUCGGGAAAGUCCAAAUCAAUCUACUAUUACCUGGACUAACCGGAACACACAUAAAAAUCAAAGAAAAUCUUCGAUUCGGUGGCAGUGCCUGCAAAAAAAUACUUCUUUAUUGGUAAACAACACUCGGAAAACAAAUAAUAUACUGGACCUGACAGUCCACCGGUUCAACCAGUUCAACCUGCUGAUAAAUAGCAAUAUAUAGUGAAGUGAAUGCAGAACCUUUACAAUUUCGGAAGAUGUUGCAGAUCCAUUUUCUUGAUCAACUUCGACAUCAGUAAAAGCAUGAAAGAUGCAAGGUGCAAUAAAGUUAGAACUAUCCAAAUCUUGCUUUCCAAGAAAACCAUUUAUGUCCAACUUCUUAACUUUCAUAUCAAGUGGUCUACCCCCUUCUCUAUCAACCUUCACUGUGAACCAAAAUGUGCAAUUUUAGAUGCAAGAAUUCGAUAUCGCGAAAAUACAUACAUCAAGAACCUCUUACCGGUUGGGGUCCGAGUGCACAUUAUACCAUAAUGUGCAUAUGGAACAUGAGCAGGAUCCAUAAGAUUUUCAACCAGUACCUCGUACCUGAAAAUGCAAACUUAGUUUCUUCAACAAAUUUCAGCAACUAUUGAUGAUUUACAUCCACUACAUUACUCUCUUCAUUUUUCUUAGAGUACUCGCAUAAUUUGCAUACCCAUAAGGGAUAUCUCUGUUUACCAUCGACUUUGAAAAUGAAGGAUCAUCUAAUACAGGAAAGUAAGGAGGCUUUUUCUUUGUUAUAAUAUCUUUGUAUUGAGGAUCAGCAUUUGGCCAAACCCAUACAAUAUCAUGUUGCACAACACUUGGAUAAACAGCCACACAUGCUUUCUUGAAUGUAUGGACCUGCAAAUUUGAAAACCAAAGUUAAAAUAAGAGAACCCUUUUUGCCAAUAAUGCCACACAUUACAAGCAAUUGCUUAUUACUGUUGAGGGGAGGCCGGACUCUUUAUUAGGAGAAGUUUUCAAAGUAUCAUGAGCAGACGAACCCCUCAAUGGUUGAGGUAUUGUGCUCAAGGUGUCUAUGCUCGGUUUGUCUCUCGACUCCGCAGGGAGCCCUGACAGGUCCAUAAAGUGAGAACACCUUGCCCACCAAGGAAAUAAGAGCAUUUGGCCUUGGUGGGUUUGAAACCAUGCCCUUAUAUGGCAUUAGUAGGUAAGAAUAGUACCACUUGAGCUAGUGACCUCCCCUCAACAAUUAUAAUAUCAACACUUUAAAAGAGGAUCAGUAUGUAAAUACACUAUACUAAUUGAAGUUAGGAGAUUAGUGAAGAAUACUAUACGUCCACACAUUCAUUUUUCUUAAAAUAGUCGUGUCUGACAUUCAAUCCAACACACAAAUUCGUAGAUAUGAUCCCGAGUCGUAUCUUCAAAUAUAUACAUGUAUUCAAUACUCAUACCCGAGUCAGAGUAAACACCCAUACCUAUGUCCUUACAUGUAUAGAUAUAUCAUACAUGUAGGAGAAUUAAACCCCAGAAAGUUCCAAAUAAUCCUAACAUUAGAACAGCAAAAACAGAACAUAAUUAAACAUGAUGAUAUGAACUAAAAGAAAAGGGUUACCGGGGGUCCAUCUACGGGAGCUUGAGGAAUGAUUUUGCAGUCACCGUUGCCACCAAAACACCAACCAUGGUACACACAUUGUAACCUCCCCCAUUGAUCAAUUCUUCCCUCAGAUAAAGGAGCUAAUCUAUGAGGACAAGUAUCAUCGAACACUUUCCAUUCAUUCUCGUUCUUAUCCCACCAAACCACUAGAUCAAGUCCUAAUACUUUCUUACCAUGUGGCACCCUCUUAUCCAAAUCACUUACAGGCAUCACCGGAUACCACUGUGAGUACCAAUCGAAUCUCUCUUUACCGACCUCAGCCUCAACUUCCGGCAUAGGUGGCUCAAUAGACUCCGUUGUUGAUAUUGGGGACGAUGAUAAGGUCGUAAACAACCUGGAUUUCGAUCCAUUUCUUGUAAAACAUGGUAAUUGUAAGUUCAAAUUGUGAAAGAUGGGUUUAGAAAACUGGGUUUUGUUUCUUGUUGUUGUUGGAAUGUAUGGUGAAUAAACUAUGGUAGGAGAAGCUUUGAGAACAUCCAGGGAGGAUUAUAUAUGUUGGUUUAUUUUUCUUUUGUAUUUUAACGAUUAUGGCGUUCUUAAAAAGCUUAAAAGCAAAGAGAAAACGAAGAAGAGUGAAAGAACUUGAGGCUGAAAGAGGAUGAGCGUGUGAGUAAAUGAAACGCGUGAUGGAGGUAGACUGUGUGAGUAAAGAACUUGAGGCUGUGAGGAAAUGAAACUGAGUGAUGUGAUGUGAUCUUAGUGAGGCUAAAAAUGAAUUACAAAACAGUGCUUAUUGAAAAGUCGAGGAAAUAAAACAACAAAUAGUAAUCAAUGAACACUCCCAAAGCAAAGACUUUGAAAUGUUUGCAUUUUGCAAAAGUCAACAUGACUUUGUAGGAUUACAAUGGUAGGAUUACAAUUGACUAGAUUUCUCCGUCUCGAAAGUGAGCUAAAAAAUGAGAAAGUUUGGGUAAAAAUAUAUAUUAAAAAGUAAAUUUAGGCAAAAAAUAAGGUUCAUUUUUUAAACAGAUCGUAUCUCGGAUAAGUUUUUUUGACCUAAGCCCGGCCUGGCUCAGAUACCCUUAACAAAGUAUCGAUACCCUUCCCAAAAGUAUCGACACCCUGCUUGAGAAUCAAUACCUUAGGGAAGGUAUCGAUAUCUCAUAAUAAGUAUCGAUACAUUUCCUAUUGUAUCAAUAUUAUAGGCUUUAAUAUGGGCCGAAAAGGAUCGGACCCAAGUUUAGCAUCUAUAAUCUAGGUUGAGUUUGGGCAAAAAUUUAAGCCUAUUUUUUGAAUCGAGCCCGGGCUUAUUAAUUGGACCUAAAAUUUUAUUAGGGCUUAACCCGAACCAGCCCAUGAACAACUCUACGAGGGAGGAACCAAUAAAAUAAAUGUGUUGAAAUUAGGCUCAAUUUAUACUACUUUAAAUAAUAGCUUUUUUAAAUUCGGAAUAAUCUUGAUCGCCAAAAUUAACAUGUGAAAAUUAAAAUUAACUUUUAGAAAGAAAAAAAAAGUUAAAUAUUCAAUUUGUAUUAAAUAUUUUAAUUAUUUAAGCAUUAAAUAUUUUACCAAAUUAAUAUUUAAAUCCUACUUUGUAUUAGUUUAUCAAAUUAAACUAAAAAUAUUAUUAAAUUUAUCAUAAAAAUUUAUAAUUUUAUAAAAAAAUCAAGUUAAAAGAAACUCUGGAAAACUUUGGGGGUGGAACACAAAUUUACCCUAUUUUUAAGCAUUAAUUAUAAGGUUAAUAAAAAAAAUUAAAACUUAAAUGGGUUGAAUUGAAAUUUUAUAAAAUUUAGGGGCAUCCUGUAAUGCCCCUUACCCGUAUUCAACGCCGAAACAGGGUUCGAGGCAUUACCGGACUUAAACACAAGAAAUCAUACGAUUCCGAGCCAUGAGAAUUAAUCUACAUUAAAACCAUUCAAAAACAAUAUGCUCAACAUUCAAUAACAUAAUUCAACUUGCAUGCAUGAUACAAGACUUUAUCACUUCACUUACUCCUUUGCAACUUUACCACAUUUCAAUCACAUACCGAACACAUUACUCAUGAGUAUACACAUAUAUAUAUAUAUGCACUUAUCACCACAUAGUCACACAUAAUUUCACUUAGUCGAUUUUCCCGAUGAACACUUCGGAAUAAUAACAGAUACACGGUGGUUCCGCACAUAGCACCACCCUUAUGAUCAAUGCUAUCCGGUAUACAUAGUAGCCUACACUUAGUACUACACAUAUGACCAAUACCAUCCGAUACACGUAGUAGCCUGCACAUAGUACUACACACGUGACCGAAGCUAUCCAGUACACAUAGUAGCCUGCACUUAAUAUUACAUAUGUGACCAUAACUAUCUUAUACUCAUAGUAGCCUACACAUAGUACUACACAUGAUUUCUCAUGAUGUCUUUCGUAUCCUUUUCUAUUCUGAAAGUUCAACCGGGAAAUUUGUCACUUAUUCUCACUUUGUCAAUUUCAACCAUAGUCAAUCUCAAUUCAUAAUUUACAUCAAAUAAUCAUUCAAUAUACAACCACAUCUCAUGUAAUAUAACAAAAUAUUAUAACAUAAGUAAAAACGAUAUAUUAUUUACAUACAAACUAGAGGUGAUCAUGGGUUGGGCUACCCAGCCCGGCCCGACGACCCGCCCGAAAAAUGGGAGGGUUUGGGUAAAAAUAUAGACCCGAAAUAUAGGUUUGGGCAAAAAAACGAGGCCCCUUGGGUAAAAUUAUUUUGGUCCAAGCCCGGCCUGAAUUAUAUAUUAAAUAUUUAUUUUUUAUUUUUAAUCAAUUAUAUAUAUUUUAUAUAUAUUUAAUAUGGGUCGGGCCGGGCCAGGCUCAGCAAUUUUUUUCGGGCCGGGCUUGGACAAAUUUUUAGGCCCAUAUUUCGGGCCAAGCAGGGCCCGAGCCUAGAAAAUGGGCCUAAAUUUUUAUCUGGGCCAGGCCCAAACUCAGCCCAGUCCGCCCCAUGAUCACCUCUAAUACAAACUUACCUCGACACCAAAAGGGCAAAAAGGGACAUAACCGUCAAUUCUCGUUUUUCCCCCGUUCUAGGUCCGAACCUCAUUUUCUUUGAUCUAUAAUAUCAUAUUUAGCCUAAUUAUUAGUCACAUUAUUCAAAUCAGUCCACAAUUCAUAUGUUGGUAAAAUUAUUGUUUUGCCCCUAAACUUUCACAUAUUUACAAAUUAGUCCCUAGGCUCGUAAAACGAAAUUUAUGGAAUUUCAUCCAUAUCAAAGACUAACCGAAUUAUUUAGGUGCUCAUAGCAGCCCAUAUAAUCCCCAAUUUCACUCAUAUAACUCAAAAUCUUCAUACUUUACAAAUUAACCCCUAAUAGCAUUUUACAACAAAAAUCACUUAACAAGAAAUGUUCAACACACAACAAGGUUUCAUUUUACUCCAUUAAACUUCACAAUCAACUAUCAUGCUUUCAUUUCCCAAAACCCUAGCCUUUCAAUCAUCUUGCAAAUUAGUCCCCUAUUUAGCUAGCUUAAGCUUCAAUGGUUCCAAAAACAUAUAAAUCAACAAAAACAAACAUAAAUUUCACUUACAUGCAAGGGUUUAAAUUUGCUAAAAAUUUGAGUUCUCCAAUGGCUAUUCUCUUGGUAAAAAACGGUGGAAGAAGAUGAGCAAAUGAAUAAAAAUAAUAUUUUUAUUUCUUUUUGUUUAUUUUAUCAUAUUUCGUUAUGUAUAGAUGAUGAGAUUCCAUUGAUACAGAGCCAAUUCCAAUAGACUUAUUGGAGGGUCCCAUUGGCGUGCAUCCAGUAGGAAUUGAACCUACGAAUUCGCCAAUUAUGAGUUGGGCGCUUUAACCAUUCAGCCAUGGAUGCUUAGCGAGGAUCCUCGUACAUGGUGAAUAACCAAAUUCCAAUUGGAUUGAAAUCUUUAGGAUAAAUCAAUGCAAUUUUGGAGGAAUCAAUGAAAGGACAUCAAUUCAAAUCCUGGAUUUUCGAAUUGAGAGAGAUCAAGAAUUCUCACUAUUUCUUAGAUUCAUGGACUCAAUUCAAUUCAAUGGGAUCUUUCAUUCACAUUUUUUUCCACCAAAAAUGUUUUAUAAAACUCUUAGACCCCCGAAUUUGGAGUAUCCUACUUUCACGCAAUUCACACCAACCUAACCCAUCCAACAUCAUAAUUACACUCCAUGUGCAUCCACUUUCUCUUUUAAUGAUCUAAUUACUCAAUAAGGACCUCAAAUUUUAAGUUCUAUAGCUAAUUAACACAUUUAGCUAAUAGAACAUAACUUUAGCACUUUACGCGAUUUAGUCCUUUUGACUAAAUUGAGUGCCCAAAAGUCGAAAUUUUCAAACGAUAUUUCACGAAAUUAUUCCGUAAAAUUGUAGACUAUAAAAAUAUAGUAAAAUAAAUUUUCUUACGUCGGAUUUAGGGUCCCAAAAUUACUAUUCCGACUAGGCCCAAAAUCGGGUUGUUACACAUCCCUAGUGGUAAGGUGAAAAGUCAUCGUGUGGAUAAAAAGAUAGAGAGAGUGGUUAAAAGAAAGAGAAAGAAAGUAGGAAAAAUGUUCUCUUGUAUUGUUUUUAUAGUCUCUUCCGUGCAAUGAUAAGUCGUAUAUAUGACAUCUCACAAUGUUCUCUUGUAUUGUUUUUAUAGUCUCUUCAGUACAAUGAUAAAUCAUAUAUAUGACAUCUCACAUGUCAUGACAUCACUAGCAAAAAGGUCACGUCUUGUCUUCUCACAGGUGCGGGAAUGCGAAUUCAAAGGUGGGUAAUGCAACGCCUUAAUAUGGUUAAACAAUUAACGGGUGUAAGGUUACAUAUACUCUUAACGAAGUUAGUCUAUAAUGAAGGUUCGUUCACCUUACCAUAGAGCCACUUGAUGUUAUGAGUUCAAUCAAUAGAAUUAGAUUUUUUAAAACCUUGUUCAUGGCAUGUAAUCUAGAACAUUUAAAUGUAGAGUUGAAAACACAUAAAAUAUGUAUAUUUAAUUUCUAAUCAUUGUUGGUAUAGAAAAAAAAAAAAGAUGUUCAACUAGCUUUUAACCUUACAUACAAAGUAAAGGGUGUCAUAUUCACAUAAACUUACACAAAAGCAUGGUUAUAGUCAUGGUAAUGAAAAUUCUUGUAAAUGAAAUGAGCCAACCAUUUUGAAGCUGCAAAACAAACGAUAGCCAUUGAUACCAUUGUUGUUUUAACCACCAUUGAUAUCAUGUUUUGCUUUGUUACAGCAACGAUGCCAAUCAAACCAACAGACGUGAUUUGUAGUAUUACUUCGAGUGCCUUGAGACCUUUAUGUGCAGUAUUACAACUCUUACAAUUCACCACAUGACUCCAAUACCUGCAAAACAAGAACAAAGGUUAUAAGGUAUGUUACCCGGGUUCAGAGCGUUGGAUUCACGUACAUAUUCGAUACAGGUAUGUUCAUAUGUUAGGAUACAAGCUCCCAUAUUUCGAGAAAAGUGAAGAGUCAGAGCAAUAUAAGGACAAAGUUACUAAAUUUACCUGUCCAUUAGUUGUUCUCUAGGAGGGGACGGAGGAAGAGCUCCACUAUACUUCCCUUUCCAAUCAAUCUCACCGCCGGCAUACUUGUUGAACCACCUUCGGAAACCGACUACUAAGGCAUCCGACUUUGUAGGCACGAAACAAGCUUUUUGCCAACUGGUAGCCCCGAUUUCCAUUAUUUUACGCUCCUACAUGGAGAAAUAAGGUGUAAAACAAAACGAAGUUUACUAGGCAAGAAUAUUUGCAUAUAGCUAUGUGUUAAACAUGAGUUCUUCAUAUAUUUAGAGGGUCCUUAAAAGUUGAUUGUCCAAAUAAGCAUGGAAUAUGAUUGUCAGAUACUGAGUACUCAUAAAAAAAGUGAAUGUACCUAAGAGGCCUCUCUGUUAUAGGGAUUUGAUCAAAUUAGUCCUUCAACUAUUAAAUAGAUCAAUUUAGUCCCUUUACUAUUAAAAAGAAUCAAAUAAGACCAAAUUAGAAUAGAGUUAAAAUUUACUAUUUUAAAAAGUUAAUAUUUUUAAAGUUUUUACGAUUUUGUAAAUAAAAUCUUUUGUUUAGAUUUGAGUUGCAAUUGAAAAAUAAUAAUUUUCAAUACAUUUUUUAGAUAGUGAAUGUUAACUCUAUUACAAUUUGGACUUAUUUGAUUCUUUUUAAUACUAUAAGGACUAAAUUAAUCCAUUUAAUAAUAGAGGGGACUAAUUUGAUCCAGUACCUAUACAGGUACUUUAACCCAUAAACAAAUGAAAAGUCGAAGCCAUAUAGAUUUUUUGAAUGAAACUCAUCAAAGAGCCAGAGAUAUAGGAAUCACCUCAACAUGAAGAAGAUACAAAUCGGAAUCAAGAAUCAAGUUUUGUCCAAUGUGAAAUAUCCAUCUUGGAACAAUUUUGUCAAUCCAAACACCGAAGUUUCUCGGGAAAGUCCAAAUCAAUCUACUAUUACCUGGACUAACCGGAACACACAUAAAAAUCAAAGAAAGUCUUCGAUUCGGUGGCGGUGCCUGCAAAAAAAUACUUCUUUAUUGGUAAACAACACUCGGAAAACAAAUAAUAUACUGGACCUGACAGUCCACCGGUUCAACCAGUUCAACCUGCAGAUAAAUAGCAAUAUAUAGUGAAGUGAAUGUAGAACCUUUACAAUUUCGGAAGAUGUUGCAGAUCCAUUUUCUUGAUCAACUUCGACAUCGGCAAAAGCAUGAAAGAUGCAAGGUGCAAUAAAGUUAGAACUACCCCAAUCUUGCUUUCCAAGAAAACCAUUUAUGUCCAACUUCUUAACUUUCAUAUCAAGUGGUCUACCCCCUUCUCUAUCAACCUUCACUGUGAACCAAAAUGUACAAUUUUAGAUGCAAUAAUUCGAUAUCGCGAAAAUACAUACAUCAAGAACUUCUUACCGGUUGGGGUCCGAGUGCGCAUUAGACCAUAAUGUGCAUAUGGAACAUGAGCAGGAUCCAUAAGAUUUUCAACCAGUACCUCGUACCUGAAAAUGCAAACUUAGUUUCUUCAACAAAUUUCAGCAACUAUUGACGAUAUACGUCCACUACAUUACUCUCUUCAUUUUUCUUAGAGUACUCGCAUAAUUUGCAUACCCAUAAGGGAUAUCUCUGUUUCCCAUCAACUUUGAAAAUGAAGGAUCAUCUAAUACAGGAAUGUAAGGAGGCUUUUUCUUUGUUAUAAUAUCUUUGUAUUGAGGAUCAGCAUUUGGCCAAACCCAUACAAUAUCAUGUUGCACAACACUUGGAUAAACAGCCACACAUGCUUUCUUGAAUGUAUGGACCUGCAAAUUUGAAAACCAAAGUUAAAAUAAGAGAACCCUUUUUGCCAAUAAUGCCACACAUUACAUGAAAUUGCUGAUUACUGUUGAGGGGAGGCCGGACUCUUUAUUAGGAGAAGUUUUCAAAGUAUCAUGAGCAGACGAACCCCUCAAUGGUUGAGGUAUUGUGCUCAAGGUGUCUAUGCUCGGUUUGUCUCUUUGUCUCUCGGGGAGGCCUGACGGGUCCAUAAAGUGAGAACACCUUGCCCACCAAGGAAAUAUGAGCAUUUGGCCUUGGUGGGUUUGAAACCAUGCCCUUAUAUGGCAUUAGUAGGUAAGAAUAGUACCACUUGAGCUAGUGACCUCCCCUCAACAAUUAUAAUAUCAACACUUUAAAAGAGGAUCAGUACGUAUAUACACUAUACUAAUUGAAGUUGGGAGAUCAGUGAAGAAUACUAUAUGUCCACACAUUCAUUUUUCUUAAAAUAGUCGUGUCUGACAUUCAAUCCAACACACAAAUACGAAGAUAUGAUCCCGAGUCAUAUCUUAAAAUAUAUACAUGUAUUCAAUACUCAUACCCGAGUCAGAGUAAACACCCAUACCUAUGUCCUUACAUGUAUAGAUAUAUCAUACAAGUAGGAGAAUUAAACCCCAGAAAGUUCCAAAUAAUCCUAACAUUAGAACAGCAAAAACAGAACAUAAUUAAACAUGAUGAUAUGAACUAAAAGAAAAGGGUUACCGGGGGUCCAUCUACGGGAGCUUGGGGAAUGAUUUUGCAGUCACCAUUGCCACCAAAACACCAACCAUGGUACACACAUUGUAACCUCCCCCAUUGAUCAAUUCUUCCCUCAGAUAGAGGAGCUAAUCUAUGAGGACAAGUAUCAUCGAACACUUUCCAUUCAUUCUCGUUCUUAUCCCACCACACCACUAGAUCAAGUCCUAAUACUUUCUUACCAUGUGGCACCCUCUUAUCCAAAUCACAUACAGGCAUCACCGGAUACCACUGUGAGUACCAAUCGAAUCUCUCUUUACCGACCUCAGCCUCAACUUCCGGCAUAGGUGGCUCAAUAGACUCCGUUGUUGAUAUUGGGGACGAUGAUAAGGUCGUAAACAACCUGGAUUUCGAUCCAUUUCUUGUAAAACAUGGUAAUUGUAAGUUCAAAUUGUGAAAGAUGGGUUUAGAAAACUGGGAUUUGUUUCUUGUUGUUGUUGGAAUGUAUGGUGAAUAAACAAUGGUAGGAGAAGCUUUGAGAAC